GCUGUGUCACAUAGAGGGGAGAGAGGCUAUGCCUAAGCUCAGUGUUCUGAGCUAUCAGCAUCUGAAUGAUCAGUAGCCUAACAUU
rnacentral:snoRNA from 1 species